rnacentral:rRNA from 1 species
GUGGGGAAUAUUGGACAAUGGGCGAAAGCCUGAUCCAGCCAUGCCGCGUGUGUGAAGAAGGUCUUCGGAUUGUAAAGCACUUUAAGUUGGGAGGAAGGGCAGUAAGUUAAUACCUUGCUGUUUUGACGUUACCGACAGAAUAAGCACCGGCUAACUUCGUGCCAGCAGCCGCGGUAAUACGAAGGGUGCAAGCGUUAAUCGGAAUUACUGGGCGUAAAGCGCGCGGAGGUGGUUUUGUAAGUUGGAGGUGAAAUCCCCGGGCUCAACCUGGAAACUGCCUCCAAAACUGCAUGACUAGAGUACGGUAGAGGGUAGUGGAAUUUCCUGUGUAGCGGUGAAAUGCGUAGAUAUAGGAAGGAACACCAGUGGCGAAGGCGACUACCUGGACUGAUACUGACACUGAGGUGCGAAAGCGUGGGGAGCAAACAGGAUUAGAAACCCGUGUAGUCC